UACGUAGGGUGCAAGCGUUAAUCGGAAUUACUGGGCGUAAAGCGUGCGCAGGCGGUUUUGUAAGACCGAUGUGAAAACCCCGGGCUUAACCUGGGAACUGCAUUGGUGACUGCAAGGCUUGAGUGUGUCAGAGGGAGGUGGAAUUCCGCGUGUAGCAGUGAAAUGCGUAGAUAUGCGGAGGAACACCGAUGGCGAAGGCAGCCUCCUGGGAUAACACUGACGCUCAUGCACGAAAGCGUGGGGAGCAAACAGG
rnacentral:rRNA from 1 species